CCCCAGACUGAUCACUGGGAGAUGUUUUUAAACAGACUAGCUAUUGAUGGCUCUGCUUCAAAAAGCAACAUUCAGAAAAAUUAAGACAGAAGGAAACAUAAGACUCACAAACCUCACCCAACAGGUCUGACCUUUGACACCCAAAACAUGGCUUGCCUCCCCUCAGUGGUAGGCUGAGCUUUCUAAUGCACUACAUAACCUGUAUCGUUUGUCUCUUGACAGGUCUGCUUGUGGUCACUAGCAAAUGAAAGGACAACGUCACCACUCUGGCUCUGAAAGGAUUGGUGUAUUACACUUUGUUAAGCUAUACUUACAUCUGGGAAUCUCCGAUGCCAAAGCCAAUCUUGGGACUGCUGAGUUUAUGUAAGGUUUGAAAACUAUAGAUUCAUUCCUGCUGCCUUCUAUCGGUUGCACAUAGAUCACAACUCAACCCAACUUCAAGGGGAAGGAACAUGGAUAUACCUCAACUGGUG